GGUUUCCCCCUCCCCGCCCCCCCCAAUGGUAACACAGUGUCACAGCCCCCCCCCACCGUGGGGGUGGUCGCCUACAGCCGCCACCGCGACCCCGAGGAGGAGGAGGAGGAAGAAGAAGAGGAGGAAGGGCAGGGUGGGGAGGUCAGGGGGGGGCCCACUAUUCUGCUGCCCCCACCACCCUCCAGGCCCCGCCCACGCCGUAAGCCCCGCCCCCGGUCCCGCCCCUGGCUCCACCCACUCGUCACGUUGGCGCUUGGCUCCGCCUCCGCCUUCCUGGUCGGGCUGCUGGUGGCUGGGAUUGGACGAACCCCGUGUGGGGGCGGGGCGUGGGCGGGGCCUGAGGCCCUUGACCCCACCCUGGAGGAAUUUGGGGGCGGGGCCACCCCCGAAGCUCCGCCCACUUGGCCUCAGCUGCGGGAAGAGGUGCAGCGCCGCCUGCGGGGGGAGCGCAUCGAGGCAUGGGUCAGGGAGGUGGCGAUGGGGCCGCACCCCCCCGGUUCUGGGAGGGGUCGGGCUUUGGCUCAGGCUGUGCUGAGCGCUAUGGUGGGGGCGGGGCUGCACCGGGCAUGGAACCACCCCCAGCGUGUGCCCCUCCCCACCAGGUAUGGGGGGGGUCGGAGGGGGGGGUCUUGGGAGGGUUCCUGGGGGGUGUGGGGGGGUGAAUAUGAGGGCC
rnacentral:lncRNA from 1 species